rnacentral:rRNA from 1 species
AUGACGCAGAGUAAGCACUUCUUUUGUUCUUGGCAAGAUAAGCACAAGGCAUGGAACAACACCUUAUCUGAAGCUUUGAUUUCUCUUUUUGGUCAGUUGAAACGUGUUGCCCCCCUCCUCCCCAAGGGCAAGGUGAAGGAAGGUGCCUGUGUGGUUUUUCUGCAGCUCGUAGCGAGGAUUGCUGUGUCCAACCUGCACAAGAAUGCCAAGAAGUCCUUCUCGAAGACGAUUAGGGACAUGUACCUGCACUACAACGAGAGAUCUGGGCUGCUUCUUUGUGGCUUCCAAACUUGA